rnacentral:rRNA from 30 species
UAUACAACUUUCAGCAACGGAUCUCUUGGCUCUCGCAUCGAUGAAGAACGCAGCGAAAUGCGAUAAGUAAUGUGAAUUGCAGAAUUCAGUGAAUCAUCGAAUCUUUGAACGCACCUUGCGCUCCUUGGUAUUCCGAGGAGCAUGCCUGUUUGAGUGUCAUUAAAUUCUCA